rnacentral:lncRNA from 1 species
UGAGAACGAGAGUUUCAAGGCCUCAGAGACAAAGCGGAUCAAGCUUUGGACAUGCAUAUUGACUAUCCAACCCGCAACUGCAAUGAAACCUACCGACCAAAACAGAGAGGGAAGAAACCGUCUUAAUCACUUCAACUUCUUAUUUCUUAAGCUACUCCAACAAAAGCCUACAAAGAACAGAGCACAAGAGGUCAUCAUUGACGACGAUUAGGAGGUGUUAGUGCUAUCCGUCGCACCACACCUUCUCCAUGUGGAGGAAAGCAGAAAGGAAGGAGAUGACCAGCGACAUAGGGCGAUUAAGAUUGGCAUAGGUGUGGUGUUAGUUGUCAGAGGCCAGCGGAAAAUCUCGUAGGCCGCCUGCAGUUGACAUAAACGAGGGAGUACGUGGAGAGGACGUAAUUGUAGGGUUCCACGACUGAGAUGGAGACCAACGUCGAGGGGUGGACUAUGAACCUAUAGUCGACUUCUUACCGUAAUCCACGAAGAGAAGCCCCUGGAGAAGGGAGCCGAGGCCGGAGCCUGUGUUGCCGCCGACGGCGUACAAAGCUGGGAACCCUUGCGGGCCCGUGAGGUUGCCUACGGGGUUCGUGAUGCGAGCGGGCAUAGAUCAAUAGCCUCAUUCCCCAUCACAAAUAGUGGCAGCGCGUGAGGUUGAUUGCUGCAUUCUCCUUGCCACUGUUUAGCUUCUCCAGGAAUGGGAAUUGGCGG